rnacentral:rRNA from 1 species
GAUGAACGCUGGCGGCGUGCCUAAUACAUGCAAGUCGAGCGAACAGACGAGGAGCUUGCUCCUCUGACGUUAGCGGCGGACGGGUGAGUAACACGUGGAUAACCUACCUAUAAGGCUGGGAUAACUUCGGGAAACCGGAGCUAAUACCGGAUAACAUGUUGAACCGCAUGGUUCAACAGUGAAAGACGGUCUUGCUGUCACUUAUAGAUGGAUCCGCGCCGCAUUAGCUAGUUGGUAAGGUAACGGCUUACCAAGGCAACGAUGCGUAGCCGACCUGAGAGGGUGAUCGGCCACACUGGAACUGAGACACGGUCCAGACUCCUACGGGAGGCAGCAGUAGGGAAUCUUCCGCAAUGGGCGAAAGCCUGACGGAGCAACGCCGCGUGAGUGAAGAAGGUCUUCGGAUCGUAAAACUCUGUUAUUAGGGAAGAACAAAUGUGUAAGUAACUAUGCACGUCUUGACGGUACCUAAUCAGAAAGCCACGGCUAACUACGUG